GCCUUCUUCUAGGUGAGGGAGAUUCUCUCUGUCAGUCCACAAGGGCUGUUUGUUAAAAGCCUAUUGUUUCUCUCUUCCUAAGCAUGUAGAAGCACCAAUGUUCUGGACUUGGCCCCUGUUGCUUAAGGGGAAGAUGUAGGCAUUUCGUCUGAGCACGGUUUGAAAAAUGAAAAUGUGGCAGAAGCAGAAGUGCGAUAGCCAUGAGCUACAAGCUGGAAAGAAACUGCAUUUCUGCUGCCUUUUGUAUCAGAGGUUGCCAGUACGCUAUAAGAGCACUGUGGAACUCAAGGUCUUUCUCAGCUUCCUAAAGAGCUGGAAGCAAGAAGAGACCUGAAUACUGGAUGAAAUGAACCCCUGCAUCAGAGGACAUUCCUGACGGAGCCAGAUGAGCCAGAAAUUCCUGUUCUGGGGAAAAAAGCCACCUGCAUUAGCUGCAGAUCGUCACAGCCUGGUGCGAGCAACGCUAAGCUAUAGGCAGCUGAGUUCAGCAGGAAGAUGCUUUUGUGACAUGGGAGGGAGAUCUUGAGGGAAGGCCAUCAACUACAAUGUUGCUGGACUCUACAAUGUCAGAGAGGCUCAGUGGAGUGUUACAUGUGAAGUCAGAGAUUCCACCGGAAGUGCAACACACAAAGUUGUAGACGGCAGGGUAAGUGUGAUGCAUGAAGUGGGAGACAUCAGGGCAUGUGUGACACUGAAGUGAGAGACUACAGGGGGAGUGUUAAACUUGAAGUCAGAGACGCCAGGGGCAUUGUUACAAACAACUCCAAAGAGACUAUGGGGAGUGUUAUGCAAGAAGUUAUACAUGCCUGGUAAGUGUUAUGCUGUCAAAGACACAGUGAGAGAGGGAGGUACGAAGUCAGAGAUGACACGAAGUGUGUGAUACACAAAGUCAGGAACACCAUGUGGAGUGUUACACGCGAAGUUAGAGAUGCCACAUAGAAUGUUAUGCAUGAAGCCCUCCUUGCCAUGGAUAUUGUGACACGUGAAGUCCCAGGUGCCACGGCAUGUGAGUCACAACAAGUCUGAGAUGCUAGGGGUACUGGGAAACAAGAAGUUAGAGACACCAGGUGGAUUGUAACACGAUGUCAGAGAUGCCAAGUGGAGGCUUACCAACGAAAUCAAAGACACCAUGUGGAGUGUUACACACAAAGUCCAGGAUGCCAUGUGGAGAGUGACACACAAAGUCAGAGAUGCCAUGGGGAGUGUUACACACGAAGUCAGAGACAGCACCAGUGAGUGUUACACACAAAGGAAGGAACAUCAUGUGGAGUGUUACACAUCAAGUCCAUGAUGAAACAAAGAGAGGGACACACGAAUUCAAAGUUGUAAUGUGGAGUGUGACACACAAAGUCAGAGAUGCCAUGGGGAGUGUUACACACGAAGUCAGAGACAGCACCAGGGAGUGUUACACACAAAGGAAGAAACACAAUGUGGAGUGAUACACAUGAAGUUUGUGACACCACAGAGCAAGGGACACAUGAAUUCAAAGUCAUAAUGUGGAGUGUGACACACGAAUUCAGAUAUUCCUAAGGAGUGUUACACACGAAAUCAGAGGUGAAAGGGGAAGUGUGAAACACAAAGUCACAUAUGCCAUUGGGAGUGACACACACCAAGUUAGAGAUGACAGGGCAGAUGUGACACACAAAAUCUAUGAUACCAGGGGGAGAUUUACACAUGAAGUCAGAGAUGCCACGGGGAAUGUUAUAGAAGAAUUCAGGAGACAAUAGGUUGAGUGGCUCACACGUAGUUAUAAAUGGCAUGGUUAGUAUAAUACAUGAAGUCAUGAUGCCAAGGGGUUUGUGGCACACUAAGUCACAGACGCCAGGCUGAGUGUGACACACAAAGGCAAGGAUGCCCUGGGGAAUGUUACACAUGAAGUCAGAGACAACACCAGGGAGUGUUACACACAAAGGAAGAAACACAAUGUGGAGUGAUACACAUGAAGUCUGUGACACCACAGAGCAAGGGACACAUGAAUUCAAAGUCAUAAUGUGGAGUGACACACGAAUUCAGAUAUUCCUAAGGAGUGUGACACAUGAAGUCAGAGAGAACAGGGAAAGUGUGAAUCCUGAAGUCACCUAUGACAUUGGGAGUGACACACAACAAGUCAGAGGUGAUGGGGGGAUGUGACACAUGAAGUCAAUGAUGCCAGGGUGAUUAUUACACACGAAGUCAGAGGCACUGGGGGAGUGUGAUACACGAUGUCAGGGAUGCUGGGUGGAGUGGCUCACACAAAGUCAUAAAUGGCACAGUUACUAUAAUACAUGAAGUCAUGAUGUCAAGGUGAGUGUGACACACGAAGUCACAUAUGCCAGGGUGAGUGUGACACACGAAGUCAGAGAUAACCCAAAGGAUUUUGACACACAAAGUCAGAAACACCAGGGGGAGUGUUAAGAAAGAUGUCAGAGAAGAUGGAUGGAGUGUUCCAGGCGAAGUCAUGGACUAAAAAGCAAGUGUUACACACGAAUCAGAGAAACCAAGGAGAGUGUUAUACAGGAAGUCAGAGAUGGCAUGGGGAGUGUUACAAUUGGAGUCAGAGAAGCACAUGGGUGUAUUACACACAAAGCCAGAAACGUCACUUGGUUUGUGACACCAGGGACAAGUGACUUGUGACAAGUCAGAGACACCAGGGGGAGUGUUACAAACCCAGUGAGAGAUGCCACUUGUGGUGUUACACAGGAAGAGAUACAAACCAGAGGAAGUUUUAGAAACAAAAUCACAGAUACCAUGGUGAGUGUCACACACACAGUCCAAGAUGUGAGGCAGUGUGUGACAUACAAAGGGAGAGAUCCAAUGUGGAGUAUUACAAACAAAGUCUGAGUCACCAGCGGGAGUGUGACACAUGCAAUCAGAGAUGUUAGUGAGAGUGUUAGACAAGAAGUCAGAGAUGUCUGGGGAGUGUUACACACGAAGUCAGACGCCACAGCGUAGUGUUACACAUGAAGUCGGAGACUCCAGGGGAGUGUUAUGCACCAAGUCAGAGACACCAGUGCGAAUGUUAUGCAAGAUGUCAGAGACAUAUGGGGAGUAUGACACAUGAAUUCAGAGACAACAGGUCAUAUGUGAAACUCGAAAUCAGAGAACCAGGGGAAGGUUGCACAUGAAAUCAGGGACACCAGGGGGAGUGUUAUACAUGAAGGUAGAGUUGCCAGUGUGAGUGUUACACAAGAAGUUAUAGACAGCAGGGGGAGUCGGUCACAGGAACUCAGAGACACCAAAGCAAGUGUGACAAAUGAAGGCAGAGAUGACAUUUGGGGUAUGACACAUGAAGUCAGAGACAUCACAUGGAGUCUUACAGACGAUGUCAGCACCACUGGGGGCGUUUGACCCACAAUACCAGACAUAGCAGGGGAAUUCUCAUGCAUGAAUUGAAAGACACCAGGGUGAGUGUUACACAUAGUCAGAGAUUCCACUGUGAGUGCUACACAAGAAGUUGUAGACGGGAGGGGCAGUGUGAUGCAUGAAGUGACAGACACCAGGGCAAGUGUGACACUCGAAGUCAGAGACUACAGUGGGAGUGUUAAACAUGAAGUCAGAGACAUCAGGUCGAUUGUUACAAAGGAAGUCAAAGAGACCCUGGGGAGAGUUACGCAUGAUGUCAAAGACACCAGUGAAAGAGGGGUGCAUGAAUUCAGAGACAACAUGGGGUGUGUGAAACACGAAUCAGACAGCAAGUGGAGUGUUACACACUAAGUCAGAGAUGCCACGUGGAGUGUUACACAUGAGUCCUCCUUGCCAUGGGGAUUGUGACACACCAGUUCAGAGAUACCAGGGCUUGUGUGAGACACAACAUCAGAGACAUCAACGGGUGUAUUACACAGGAAGUCUGAGAUGAUAGGGUGGGUGUGACACAUGAAGUCAGGGAUGCCAGGGAGUGUGACACACUAAGACAAGGAUGCCUCAGGCAGUAUCACACAGAAAAUCUGAGAACCCAGUGGGAUUGUGACAAAUGAAGUCAGAAACACCGAGGGAGAGUUAGACAGGAAGUCAGAGACACCAGGGAGUGUGUGACACACGAACUGAGGGACAUCAUGGGGAGUGUGACACACGAAGUCAGAGAUGUCAGGGAAGAGUGACAUGAGAAGUCAAAGGUGCCACGGUGUGUGUUACACACAAAGUCCAAGACGAUAGAGGUAACGGGAAACAAAAAGUUAGAGAUGCCAGGUGGACUGUGACACAAAGUCAGAGACACUUGCUGUCUGUCUCUGACUUCGUGUUUAACACUGCCCUGGUGUCUCUGACUUCAUGUAUCACACACCCCAUUUUGUCUCUGACUUUGUGCACUCCUCUCUCCCUGGUGUCUUUGACUUCGUGUAUAACACUCCAUGCUAUGUCUUGAAAUUUGUGCAUCACACUCCCCCUGGGGUCUUUGACUUUGCUUGUAACAAUCCACCUGGCAUCUCUCCCUUCAUGUUUAGCACUCUUCCUGUAGUCUCGGACAUCGGGUGUCAUACUACUCAAGGCGUCUCUGAAACCUUUAACAUUCCCGGUGGUGUCUCUGACUUCUUGUGUCACACUUGAUGGGGCCUCUCUGACUGCUUGAGGAACACUCCCCCUUGUGUCUUUGUCUGCACACCUAAGGCUCCCUGUGGACUGACUUCGUGUUUAACAGUCCCUCUGUUUUCUCUGACGUCAUUCGUAACCUUCCCAGUGGCCUGAUUUCCUGUGUCACACUCCACCUGUCAUCUCUGACUUUGUGUGUCACAAACCCCAUGUCAUCACAGAUCUCACAUGUCACUCUCCCUUGUGUGUCUUUGACUUUGUGCGUAUGUCUCCCCCUUGGCUUCUCUGACUUUGUGUCUCACAGAACCCAGGUCGUCUCUGAAAUCAUGUGUCACUCUCUCUGGGGUGUCUUUGAAUUCUUGUAUAACACUCCCCAGGUGUCUUUCACUUCAUGUGUGACACUCCCGCUGACAUGAUUGACAUCAUGUGUAAAAGGACCCUGGCAUUUCUGCCUUCAUGUGCCACUCUCCCUCUGGUGUCUCUGAGUUCGUGUGACACACUCCCCCUGCCAUCUAUCACUUUGUGUGUAACACUCACACUAGCAUCUCUGAAUCAUGUAUAACACUCCCCCUGGCGUCCUUGACUUUGUGUGCAGCAUUCCCCCGGGCAUCUCUGAUUUUGAGUUUCACACGUGACUUGUCAUCUCUGAAUUCGUGCGUCACUCUCCCCCUAAGUCUUUGACCUCUUGUGUAACACUCCCACUAGUGUCUCUGACUUGAUGCGAAACACUCCCCAUUGCAUCUCUGACUUCAUGUUUAACACUACUCUAUGGCAUCUGACUUCGUGUGUAACACUACCCCUGGUGACUUGGAUUUCAUAUGUAACCCUCCACUUUGGGUCUCUCCCUUUGUAUGUCACACAGUGCCCCACAUCUUUGACUGGGUAUGUGUGAUUUUCUUUCUAAAACCCCCUUUCGUGUGUAUCCCUUCCUGUGUAAGACCGCAAGUGGCAUUUCAACUGGGUUUGUAACACUCUCCCUGGUGUCUCUGACUUCAUGUGUCACAAAUCAUAUGACAUUUCUGGCUUCUUGUAUAACACACCCACGUGCAUCUCUGACUUUGACUGUAACACUCCCUGUGGCAUCUCUGACUUCCUGUGUAACAAUCACCUUGGUGUCUCUGAUUCUUGUGUAACACUCACCCUGUAGUCUGUGACUUUGCCUGUAACACUCCACCCGUCUUCUCUGACAUCAUUGUUAACACUCCCCCUGGUGUUUCUGACUUCGUGUGUCAAAAUCCAUUGGGCAUCGCAGACUUCCUCUGUCACACUCACCCUUGCGUUUAUGACUUCUCUGACAUCAUGUUUCACACAACCCAGGCAGUCUCUGAAAUCGUGUGCCACUCUGUCCUGGUUGUUUCUCACUUCAUGUGCCACACAACCCUGGUGCUUCAGACUUCAUUUGUAACAAUCCAUCUUCUGUCUCUGAGUUCGUGUGUAACACUCCCCCUGGUAUCUUGAUAUUGUGUGCAAAACUCCACCUGGCAGCUUUGAAUUCAUGUGUCACACUCCUCAUUGUGUCUGUGACUUCAUGUGUCACACAAAAUAGCGUAUAUGAUAUCAUGUGCAACACUUCCCAUGGUGUAUCUGAAUUCAUGUGUUACACUCCACCUGGUAUCCCUGACUACCUGUAUCACAUUACCUCUAGCAUGCAUGACUUUGUGUGUAAAUCACUCCAUGAAAUCUAUGACUUCCUGUGACACACUGCCACUUGCGUCUCUCAGUAUGUGCAUCACACUCACUCUCCCAUCCAUAACUUCUUGUGUAACCCACCCAAUGGUGUCUCUUACUUCUUAUAUAACAAACU
ensembl:lncRNA